UAAACGGACCAUCGAGUAUCCAUUGGAGGGCAAGUCUGGUGCCAGCAGCUGCGGUAAUACCAGCUCCAAUAGCGUAUAUUAAAGUUGUUGCAGUUAAAAAGCUCGUAGUUGGACUUGUGUGCGCUGUCCGCGGGUGGCCUGCGCCCAAAAGGGCGUUUCGGUUCGGCCCCGGUGGCGCCUUGAAAUCUGCAGCUGGGGGGACGUUGGCCUUAACUGGUCGGCGACCGCACGCCGGCUGCUCGGUUACUGUGAGAAAAUUAGAGUGUUCAAGGCAGGCAUUGGGUGCAAUUGAAUACAUUAGCAUGGAAUAAUAAAAUAUGGCUCCUGCCGUAUUUUGUUGGUUUUGACUGGUGGGAGUAAUGAUUGAUAGGGACGGUUGGGGGUGCUAGUAUUGAGCGGCCAGAGGUGAAAUUCAUGGAUUCGCUCAAGACUAACUUAUGCGAAAGCAUUCACCAAGGACGUCCUCUUUAAUCAAGAACGAAAGUUGGGGGAUCGAAGACGAUCAGAUACCGUCGUAGUCUCAACCAUAAACUAUGUCGACUUGGGAUCGGCGGUAGUUUUUUCAUUAAGACACUGUCGGGACCACGGGAGAAAUCAAAGUGUCUGGACUCUGGGGGAAGUAUGGUCGCAAGGCUGAAACUUGAAGGAAUUGACGGAAGGGCACCACCAGGAGUGGAGCCUGCGGCUUAAUUUGACACAACACGGGGAAACUUACCAGGUCCAGAGAUGUAGAGGAUUGACAGAUUGAAGCUCUUUCUUGAUCACUUCGGUGGUGGUGCAUGGCCGUUCUUAGUUGGUGGAGUGAUUUGUCUGGUUAAUUCCGUUAACGAACGAGACCUCAGCCUGCUAGUGUAGUCGGCUGGAUUGCCUUUGGCGAUCCGUGAUUUCGACUUCUUAGAGGGACAAUCGACGCGCAGUCGAUGGAAGUUUGAGGCAAUAACAGGUCUGUGAUGCCCUUAGAUGUUCUGGGCCGCACGCGCGCUACACUGCUGGGCUCAGCGAGUUUUACUUGGCCGAGAGGCCCGGUUAAUCUUGUGAAAUCCCAGCGUGCUUGGGCUCGCCUCCUGCAACUGGAGGCGCCAACGAGGAAUUCCUAGUAGACGCAGGUCAUCAACCUGCAUCGAUUACGUCCCUGCCCUUUGUACACACCGCCCGUCGUUCCAUAAGAGUGAGGCAUCCGGUGAAUUCUCGGGAGAGCCUGGGCGUGGCCAGCAAUGGUCUGCUCGGGUUUGAACUUGCAUAAACUUGGUGCCUAUGAUUAGGG
rnacentral:rRNA from 1 species